rnacentral:rRNA from 1 species
UACGAAGGGGGCUAGCGUUGCUCGGAAUCACUGGGCGUAAAGGGUGCGUAGGCGGGUCUUUAAGUCAGGGGUGAAAUCCUGGAGCUCAACUCACAGACUCCUUUGAUACUGAGGAUCUUGAGUUCGGGAGAGGUGAGUGGAACUGCGAGUGUAGAGGUGAAAUUCGUAGAUAUUCGCAAGAACACCAGUGGCGAAGGCGGCUCACUGGCCCGAUACUGACGCUGAGGCACGAAAGCGUGGGGAGCAAACAGG